rnacentral:lncRNA from 1 species
AUGUCAGCAGUCCUCCCUGUUGUGAUAGAUUGCAUAGGAUGCUGCUUCCGGAUCCAAAGGAACAAUCGACAGACGUCACAAAGAUCCACCUCUGGCUGCAUCAGAAAAUUAUGCUCCUGGCGCCACCAGCGAGUGCACCCCGCUAAUGGGUCGGGGACAGAAACCCCGGGCUCCCAUGAAAGGCUGCCCAGCACCGCAGGAGGAAUAGAGGCUCCAAGUGGCUGCACAAUGCCGGCCGAUGACGCAACUAAUAAUAAUGGCAUGGCUUUGGAGCGCCCCACUCCAGUGACAAACAAUCGGGGUGAAGAAGAAGAAGGUGGGUCUUCCUUGCGGGCAUUGGUUGGAGAGCAGCCAGAUCCUGGGUUCCUUUUGGAAAGGGGGUAGUCUGGGAUGUGGAGCAGGCAGCUCUUUCCCAGUCAUAGUGAUGCCCUGGUGGCACCUGCCCUGGACACAAGUCUCUUGUGUUGAUUCCUUGGGUUGUGACACAUUCCGAGGGACAGGGAGUGAGGUCCAUGUGUGAGCACAUGUGGUGUAAGUAUCUGUUUCCUCAUGAGCUCUCUCCUAUUUAUACAGAAAAUACACCGCUCAACGUUCCUUAAGAAACAUCCCAUCACCUCUGCGUACCACCCCUAUAGGCAUGCAUUCGCCCCUCACCACUGCUGUCCCCACGUUGGCUUAAUUUUCCCGUUGCUCAGGUGGAGAUGGUGCAGAGAGAGUUGGCCCAAGCUCUUGACCUCCUACAUGGGAAAGCCAAAGUGGGACCCAGGCUGGGUUCCCUAUGGGGACGCUCUGGACCCCUGACCUGCACCUCUCCCUCAGCCAGGACUUGGUCGUUCGUGGGGAGCACGGAGCGGGGAGGGUCCCUGCUCCGUGUCUAUGCCCGGGAAUUCCAGGGUCUCCAGAGGGCCUGUCGAUGCUGUGCAUUUUAAAAGGUCCCUGUCAGUGCUGCGGUCAUUGCUUCAACAUGGCCAAAGCAGAUGGGAAUCGGCGAGGCGUAUGCUUGUAUUGGACAGUGUCACUGUCAUUCUCACACUUGACCACCCUAGGUAGCACACACCCAGGCGACCUUGCAAGUAAGAGCUCACAGUUCACCCUCAUCCUUAGCCUGGUGUGCGGCACCAUUGUACAAACUCGCUGCCCAUCUGGGUGAGAAGGACUCCGUGCUCCCUCUGUGUUUCUCUCCAUGAAGUAAGUCCCUCUUGUUGUAAGGCUCUUGGGAGGGCAGACAUCCUUUUUGCUCAAGGCCCAUGCACCAAAUGAAGCCUGCAGAAAAACUGUCAUGUGAUGGAUAGUGGUUGGAUUUCAGUAUUGUCAUGUGUUCUAUUUUUGGUUUUUAAGAUCAACGUUUUGGGUUUAAGAUCCCUUCAUUAGCAUACUUUUCCUAGAAUUACCCCUCCAGGAAAGUUCUAAGUUUUCUUAAAUGAUUUUAAUUUUUUCCUUUACACUCGGUUUAAAUUUUUCUGUUAAUUUCUGCUGUGCAGGAAAGUGAUCCUGUCGCACACGCGUGCACACACGCACACAGACACACCCAUAUACAUGCUUACAUUUUCUCCCACUAUCCUCUAUCACGUUCCUUCGUGAGUGGCUGGAUAUUGUAUCCCUGUGCGAUCCAGUGGGCUCUCAUCGCAUAGCCAGUCCAGAUGCAAUUGUUUGCAUCCCUAAAGCCCAGAGUCCCAGUGCAUCCCACUUCCUCCCUGACCCCACUGGCAAGCACAAGUCUCUUCUGCAAGUCCUUGAGUUUCUGUUCCGUGGAAAGGAUCAUUUGUGCUGUGUUUUAGAGUCCAGAUAUAAGUGACAUCAUGUGGGGUUGGUGUUUCUCUUUCUGAGGGACUUUGCUUAGGAUGAGCGCCUCUAGUUCCAUCCACUCUGCUGCAAAUGGCACUAAUUCCUUCCUUUCACGGCUGAGGAGUACCGCAUUGUGUAUAUAUCCCACCUCUUGUUAACCCAUUCAUCUGUCGGUGGACGUUUAGGUGGUUUCCACGUCUUGGCUAGCGUGAGGAGUGCCGCACUGGACACUCGGCGCUGUCGUCAACGUCCAUGGGUGCCUGUAUCUUGUUCAAGGCAAGUCUUGUCCCCACAUACGCCCAAGAGUGGGAUUUCUGGGCCACAUGCUAGUUCUAUAUUUAGUUUUCCGAGGUCCCUGCAUGGUGCUUUCCAUAGCGGCUGUGCCAAGUUACAUUCCUACCAACAGGGUGGGAGGGUACCCUCUUCUGCACACCCUCUCCAGCAUUUGUAAUUUCUAGCCUUACUAAUGAUGGCCCUUCUGACAGGUGCGAGGUGGUACUUCUUAGCAGCUUGGAUUUGCCUUGUUCUAAUCAUUCAUGGUGUUGAGCAUGUUUUCGUGUGCCUGUUGGCCAUCUGUCUAUCUUCCUUGGGUGACUGUCUAUUCAGUUCUCUUGCCCAUUUUUCAAGUGGGUCGUUGUUUGUGUUUGCUGUUGAUGGUGUCUUGUCUUAGGUUUAAGUCUUUAAGCCGUUUUGAGUUUCUUUUUGUGCACGGUUUGAGGGUGUUGUUUUCCAGUUUCCUGGAUUUUCAUGUGGCUGUCCAGCUUCCCAGCACCACGCGCUGAACAGACUGUCUUUUCCCCCCUUGACAUUCUUGCCCCCUUUGUUGAAGAAUAAUUGACCGUCGGUUUGGGGUUUAUUUCUGGGUUCUGUCUUCUGUUCCAGUGGUCUGUGUGUCGGUUUUGGUACCUUUGCCACACUGUCUUGCUUACCGUAGCUUUGUAAUAUUGACCGAAGUCUGGGAGAGGUGUGCCUCCUGCUUGGUUUUUGCUCCUCAGGAUUGCCUUGGCCAUUCCGGGCCUGUUUAGGUUCCGUGUAAAUGUUUGGACGGUUUUGUUCUAGUUCUGCGAAAAUCACGGAUAGGGAUGGCAUUGCAUCUGUAGAUUGCUUUGCGUAGAACGGCCAUUUUUAGGAUAUUCAUUUUUUCCAAGCCAGGAGCGUGGCCUAUGUCUGCCCUUCUUUGACUCCUCCUUAAUUUCCUUGAGUCAUGUUUUAUUGCUCUCGGCGCAGAGGUCUUGCAGCUCCUGGCUCAGGUUGGUCCCCAGAUGUUUAAUGCUUUGGGUUCUUCCUUGGACCCCUGCUUGAGUGGCUAAGAGGAAGGCCAUCCCCUCCCCUGGAGUGAACACUGGGGGAGGUGUCUCCUUGCAAGCCUGGGGAGAGCAGCCUUCCUCCUGUUCCUUGGCCCUCUGCAGCUACCCGUGUGCACUCCAGGGCCUUUGCCCAUCCCCUUGUCUACCGCCUCUCCUUGUUUUGUCUUCCUUCUUUCGCGUUUACACAGGGUCAUUUUUCUCAUGCAUCCUCCUCACCUGACAAAAAAUAAAAAAGCAAAGAGGAAAAGGGGAGAGCUCUAG